rnacentral:rRNA from 1 species
AGCGAACGUUAGCGGCGGGCCUAACACAUGCAAGUCGAACGCGAAAGGUCUUCGGACUGAUUAGAGUGGCGCACGGGUGAGUAACACGUAGGUAAUCUACCCUUUGGCGGGGGAUAACGUUCCGAAAGGAGCGCUAAUACCGCAUAAGACCACGGAGUCUCCGGACGCUGUGGGAAAAGGUGGCCUCUUCUUGAAAGCUAUCACCGGAGGAUGAGCCUGCGUCCCAUCAGCUAGUUGGUAAGGUAAUGGCUUACCAAGGCAAAGACGGGUAGCUGGUUUGAGAGAAUGAUCAGCCACACUGGCACUGGAACACGGGCCAGACUCCUACGGGAGGCAGCAGUGAGGAAUAUUGGGCAAUGGGCGAAAGCCUGACCCAGCCACGCCGCGUGAGUGAUGAAGGCCCUCGGGUCGUAAAGCUCUGUGGAGAGGGACG